UGCCAGCCGCCGCGGUAACACGGGGGGCGCAAGCGUUAUUCGGAAUUAUUGGGCAUAAAGGGCACGUAGGCGGUCCUGUAAGUCGGAUGUGAAAGACCCUGGCUCAACCAGGGAAGUGCAUCCGAAACUGCAGGGCUUGAGGCCGAGAGGGGUGAGUGGAACUCCUGGUGGAGCGGUGAAAUGCGUAGAUAUCAGGAGGAACACCGGUGGCGAAGGCGACUCACUGGCUCGGUUCUGACGCUGAGGUGCGAAAGCUAGGGUAGCGAACGGGAUUAGAUA
rnacentral:rRNA from 1 species